AUUGAACGCUGGCGGCGUGCUUAACACAUGCAAGUCGAUCGGUAACAGUGUAGCAAUACAUGCUGACGAGAGGCGGACGGGUGAGUAAUGCUUGGGAAUCUGCCUAUUAGUGGGGGACGAACCCGGGGAAACGUACGGGCGUAAUACCGCAUACGCUCUACGGAGGAAAGCCGGGGACCGGCAAGGCCUGGCGCUAAUAGAUGAGCCCAAGUCGGAUUAGCUAGUUGGUAGGGUAA
rnacentral:rRNA from 1 species